AUUCAUUCAUUCACUCUCAAGGUCAAGCAAGUACAAAGCAUCUGGGAAUGAGUGCCUCCUUAAAUUUUGCACUGUAAGUACUUCCCUUGCCUCACCCUCAUCUUGAAUCUGCCGAGGAGUAUUGCACUUCAAGGAAAAAUCAAGAGAUUUCCAGUCUUGUUCACCAGACCUUCUAGGUACUAAGCAAGGAGCUAUCCAGAUCAGCAUUUGGAGAAGAUCCUUAGCAAAUUUUCUCUCUUAAGCUGUUUUCUGGUCUAUGAAGGAAGGGAAAGGACUAAUUAGCAGAAUGAUGUAAAGGCAGUUAAGAUUCUAAAAAUCCCAUCCCACUCACCAGUUCAAUUGAUGCCUAAAGGGAGAAGAAAAUGUCCAAAAAGAUUUUUUUUUCUCAAGAACAAAGGGCUGUACUGCUAAGAACUAAGCUAUCUCUUUACAAAUAAUUUUUAAAUAACCCUUAUGGCUUGGUAAAAAAAGAGAAGACCAAACAGUUAUGGAGGACUUUUCUUCCAGCUUUAGUGAAAGCCUUUAAAGUACAUUUUCCUUUCAAUACAUUUAAUUUGCUUAAAGUAACAUGUUGUCUAAGGAUUACAUUAUAAAGCAGGUAUUCUGUUUCACCAAUCUGUAGGUUUAUUUAUCUAAUUUCACUUUAGAAUCUUAAUGGGUGACAUAUUAUUUUAAAGAAUUUUUAAAAUAUUUUAUUUAUUUAGGGCAGCCAGGGUGGCUCAGCGAUUUAGCGCCGCCUUUGGCCCAGGGUGUGAUCCUGGAGACCCCGGAUUGAGUCCCACGUCGGGCUCCCUGCAUGGAGCCUGCUUUUCCCUCUGCCUGUGUCUCUGCCUCUCUCUCUCUCUCCAUCUCUAAUAAAUAAAUAAAAUUUUAAAAAAUGUAUUUUAUUUAUUUCAGAUACAGAGCGUGAGCAAGAAAGCUAGGCAGGGGGGAGGGGCAGAGAGAGAGGGAGAAGCAGACUCUUUGCUGAGCAGAGAGCCCAAUGCAGGUCUUAAUCCCAGGAUCCCAAGAUCAUGACCUCAGCUGAAGGCAGGCAUUUAACUGACUGAGCUACCCAGGUGCCCCAGCAACCAACUCUUGAUUUCAGCUCAUGCCAUGAUCUCAGGGUUGUGAGAUUGAGCCUUGUGUCUGUCAGGCUCCACGCUGGGUGUAGAGCCUGCUUAAAAUUCUCUCUCAGUCUCCCUUUGCCCCUCCCUCCUUUAAACAAAAUCCAUCUCCCUGUAUAAUUAUCAUUUGUGUGUGUGUGUGGUAAGAA
rnacentral:lncRNA from 1 species